rnacentral:rRNA from 1 species
GAUGAACGCUGGCGGCGUGCCUAAUACAUGCAAGUCGAGCGAACAGAUGAGGAGCUUGCUCCUCUGACGUUAGCGGCGGACGGGUGAGUAACACGUGGAUAACCUACCUAUAAGACUGGGAUAACUUCGGGAAACCGGAGCUAAUACCGGAUAAUAUAUUGAACCGCAUGGUUCAAUAGUGAAAGACGGUUUUGCUGUCACUUAUAGAUGGAUCCGCGCCGCAUUAGCUAGUUGGUAAGGUAACGGCUUACCAAGGCAACGAUGCGUAGCCGACCUGAGAGGGAGAUCGGCCACACUGGAACUGAGACACGGUCCAGACUCCUACGGGAGGCAGCAGUAGGGAAUCUUCCGCAAAGGGCGAAAGCCUGACGGAGCAACGCCGCGUGAGUGAUGAAGGUCUUCGGAUCGUAAAACUCUGUUAUUAGGGAAGAACAAAUGUGUAAGUAACUAUGCACGUCUUGACGGUACCUAAUCAGAAAGCCACGGCUAACUACGUG